GCCCCGCCGUGCCGCCCUCCGUUCCUGCCAUGGACAGCGGGCGCGGGGCCCUGCAAGGGAGACCUGUAAGCUGACCUGGCUCCAGAAAGAGCCCAAGCGGGACGUGGCUGUGCGGGCCAGCGCCCCGGUUCAGUGCCCGGCGCGGAAAGAAGGAUCCGCACAGAGUGGGCCAGUGCCCUUCCCAGCCCGGCCUCCGCUUGUCCUCGACACUGCCCCGAGUCGGUGGCGCCCGGUGCCAUCUGUCAUUUUCUGGUUCUCGGCAGACACAACAUCUUUGUUGGUAUGUGGUGCUGAGGAUCGAACCCGGGUCGCACGCAUGCCAGGCGAGCGCGCUACCGCUUGAGCCACAUCCCCAGCCCUACUCUUAAUUUCUAAUAUGGUAACUAUCAAUAGAUAAAGCCCACAUGAGCAAGAGUUCUUUGGGGGUCCUCCAUAA